GGGUGAAAUCAUACCAUUGUUAAUGCACUGGAUCCCAACAGAACUCCACAGUUAAGCGCGCUUGAGCUAGAGUAGUACUGGGAUGGGUGACCUCUCGGGAAGUCCUAGUGUUGCACCCU
rfam:Picea glauca, whole genome shotgun sequence.